CCACAUACACUUUAUUUUUUUUUUUCAACCAGAGUAAAUACUUGUUGGCAACAUCACUAACACUAACAAACACUCAGUUACAGUUAGAAGUUUGACGAUCACGUUUAUUUGCGUACGAAAAUAACUUGUUGCACAGCGACUGUGGUUGUGCUCUCAAUGGGCGUCCCGAAAUGUAAAUUUUCCCUUGACGAAAAAAACGUUAUGACGAAACGAUCACAUUUCGGCAAAUUUUCCCGUUUGUUUUUUUAUAUGAAGUUUUAACGCGAAAACUGAAUAUAGUACCAGCCUUAAGUCUGACUCGUGCUGCGGUACGCCACUGCGUUAUAUACCUCUUGCUGGCCACCUCGCUGUUUCGAGAAUACCCAAUUUGGUAACUUCGCGAUAGGUCCUCUGUUAAUAUCUGCUAAUGCCGACCAGCAAUGACAAAGUACAAGUAUUUUCUUUAUUGAGAAAUUUUUUUUCAUUAUCAAUACUCUACAUGCUACGUGAAAGGUUGAUCUACGGGGCAACCAAUGUGUUCGAGUGAGACAAGGCUUGCUCUCGGCCUUAACAUAUGUCUACAGAGCUAAAUCUUCUGUCAAAGUAAAUAACUACUACAACUACAUAACACUUAAAAUUAAAAAACCAAGCGAAUCUGCAUAAACAGUGACAGUGGCUUGUAUGUAUGUAUAUAUGUGUAUAAAAACAAAGCAUAUGAUUUAAUGAAUGAACGUGCUGAGCACGAUAUCACAUAGGGUACAUAUGUAUGUGGGAUCUUAUUGCACUAUUGAGGUAUGUUGUACUUAUAAGAUAAAACGUUUUAGUGUAGAAUUCAGGCAAGAUGUUUUGGUCAGAAUGGUUGUCGGUCAUUUCGCUGAGGAUGGAAAUAGGAGAAAGGUAUGCCCUUCAGACCAGCGCGAAUUUAGCUCAGCGUUACAAAUAUCAAUCAGCAGUGCGUUCUCAUGGUGUUGUAAUUUCUUACGGAAUAACUUCUGGUGGUGCAAGCAUAUCUACACAGAGGCUGGAUUUUUGCGGCGUCGUAUAUGGUGCCAUUGGAGAAUCUUUUUGUUGGUGAUGCAAAGUUUUUGUUAACGCAUUUUCUAACGAUUUUGCGCUCAAUGAUUUCAAGUUCCAUGGCCACCACAGGAGAGAUUGAAAACCAGAUGGCAAACCCAUAUAGGAGUACAGACCUGAUUGCAACCUCACAAAGCAAUAAUUUGGUGUUCUGAGAUAAAUAUUUGUUAUUAAAUAGAUACGCGAAUAAGGCUGUAAUUUUUUUUUGCUUUUUGUAGAGUGGCCCUCGCAUGUGAAUUAAACUUCAUCAGGUUGGUGAAAUCAAUGCCCAUCAAAUAAAAGCUACAACAGUUUGCUUUCAGGAACAACAUUCCUUGGAAAUUCCGAUUUAAUAGCAUUAAUUUUAAUUUCCCAUUUUUUAUAGCAGUUAUUAAUCAAGCUGAGGUGAGUGGAUGCAUUGGAAAGGACCUGUAUAAGUGAGGAAUUAUGCGCAUAUAUUAUACAGUCAGCGGCGUACAGGAUUGCUUGCGAAUCUCGACUGGUACGAGGGAAAUCAUAUAAUAACAGGUUGAAAAAAAGGCGCUAGAACACUCCCCUGAGGAACUUCAUUUCCAACGCCGCCCGGAGACGAUAUUGUAUCGUGGAUCUUCACGGUGAAGUAACGGUUUGUAAGGAAACUACUCAAUAUCUUUAUCAAGUAAAGGUCGGUACUAUAUUCGGGUUUCGCGUUGAAACUCCAUAUAAAAAAAACAAACGGAAAAAUAAACGCGAUCGUCAAACUUCUAAUUGUAACUGAG
rnacentral:sRNA from 1 species